UCUGUGCUUGUGCGGCGUGUGGGGUGAGCGCCCGGGGCGGUGUGAGGGGGGCGCCGGUGUGCGCGCGAGCGGCGGGCGGGCGCGCGCGCGGGCCGGGAGCCAGGGCGCGUCCCCGCGUCCCCGCUUCCCCCCACACAGUGGCUGGGCUGACAGCCGGGCGGAGAAGAAAACUAGACGUCAGGGAAAUCAGUCAGAGACAAAUCGAUUCCCUUCAGAGAAACCUGGAAGCGAGGCAGCAUUCACCAUGAUGCAGUCAGGAGCCCAAGGCCCUGAGAGGUCACAUGACUCACUCAAGGUCAUCCUGCCGUAGCAGAGAUGCGACGAGCCCUGCCUUUGUGUUUCCCCUGUGACACUGUACCCUCUUCACCACCCCUGCCUGCAGCGCAUCGCAACUCAGAGAGGGAACCGGGCAGAGCAGCAGCGUCUGGACUGGUGUUUCGGGAGCUGCGGGCUCUGGUCUAUCUCCGAGUUUGAUGCAGUGUCUGGAUUCUGCAAACCCUUUCCUCUUCCUGGUUCCCGGAGUCAGAAGGGACCAUGGUUUUAUCUAUU